GAUUAGGCGUACUGACAGAACGGGUGACAAAAGUAGUGGACGUUUCCGCGUGUAUGCACUUCAGCCGCGGUGUAGCUCGAUUCCUGCGACAACGGCAAGCUGCUCGGUAUCACACUUCUGCAGGGUAAAUGGGCGUCGUCAUCAUCGCGCGCUAUAUACUACGUGUACACCCAGUUAACACUCCUUUCACACACACCUGCUCAAGAACGUGAGGACGUAUGUAGUAUACCGGCCAGCUGGUGAAACGGAAAAACUCGAGUGCAUCCGGGGCAGCGCCGAGCGCUUCAGCACAUAUGUCACCGCAAACAGCGUUUUUGAUGGCCUCCCACAGCUGGUGGGGGCACGCUGGAACAGCUGUUACAAGGGAUACAGAGAGCGAAAGGCGAAAUAAGCGCGGUUGCUCACUGAUGGAAUCGUAAAAAAAAAAAAAAAAUCUCUUUGGGUUUAGUGGAAGCAGCACGUUCCGGCGAGCGGCUCCGGUUGGGUUAUCAAGUUUUCAUACUGACGAAUUUAACAAUGCAUCGGAACCUCACGAAAUGCAUGAAAAGCAAGUGCUGGAAGCGUAGUAUCACGGAAAGACCGGGAAGGAAAAGAUCGGGAGUGUGUGGACCCGAUGCUGCUCCAUCGAAAUAAGGCAAGGCUGCCGUGAAGAGAAAGGUAAAUCACAGAGGAAGCGAAGGAAAUCGGAAGGUGUCUGGCGUGUAUUAAAAGAAAAUGUGCAAAACAGGGAGGAGGCCACGACGAAGCGAAGGUUGGGACCUCAAGCUGCAGUGUGUCAUCAGCGAUCGCUUCCAGAACAAUCCACGAGGUAGCGACUGGACACCGCCGCUUCGGGCAACCUGUCAGCUGGUCACCCUCGAAUCUCCCGGUGGCGAUGAGCAGUCCUUUUCCCACGAGGCCGUCCUUUCCAGGCGGGACUCUUAUGACUGGCGCCGAACAUUUCCAAACCUUUAUUUGUAACAUGCCAUUCACCCAACGCUGUACAGCGUUCGCUGUCCUUGGUGCGGGGGCCGGCCAACUCUCGCGCACAUUACGUGGUAUUGCCAGAACAGGCCACCCAAAAUUAUUACACCAAAAAUAGCCGGCAAACUUUCCGGAAGGGAGCAGUGGGAGACUUGGCUCGCCAGCGAGGAUCAGGAGAUGCAACUAGCGCUCCUCGACCAGGCACGGCGGACCGCUCAAGCCAGUGGGGCCCUGGAGUAGGGGCUCCACCCACUCGCUUUCUGCACUUUUUUUUUUAAAUAAGCAUUUUGAUAUAUAUUUCAUCAGCGCGCGCCCAGGAGGCGACGAGCACCGACAUAAUCAAAGGGGCUCGGCACAAUCAAAGGAGCUCACAUCCGGGCGACAAGUGCCGCCCUCCGUGGAGGAGGUGACCACCGCGAAGAUCGCUCUACCUGACCCUGACAAGCUGGCCUAACUGGUGAAAGGGGCCAACGUCGAAGGCUACCGUGGUAACAGCGUCGACCUCGGAUUCCUAGAUUGCUACACGCUCGCACCACAUGCGGGGGCGAAGGUGCAACUUAGGAGACGGAGUCCGGCGGAGCGGUGUGACAUCGUGGGAGGGAUUUUGCGACCGAUGCGACGAUCGUGAUUGGCCGAGAUAUAGUCAUCAGAUUCCCUAGUCUAGUCUCCUAGAGAAGACGACUGGUUCAAAAUCGGUGACUUUUGGUGCAGUGAGAAAGUGUGCUGACUUGUCCUAAUGUGAGCUCAGACAUAUGAUGUCCUCCUACAUGGAGUGGGCUUCCGUAUCUGGAACCAGUGCAAAUAAUGUAAAA